UACGUAGGGACCAAGCGUUGUUCGGAUUUACUGGGCGUAAAGGGCGCGUAGGCGGCAUGACAAGUCACUUGUGAAAUCUCCGGGCUUAACUCGGAACGGCCAAGUGAUACUGUCGCGCUAGAGUGCGGAAGGGGCAAUCAGAAUUCUUGGUGUAGCGGUGAAAUGCGUAGAUAUUCGGAAGAACACCAGUGGCGAAGGCGGCUCACUGGCCCGGUACUGACGCUGAGAUACGAAAGCCAGGGGAGCGAACGGG
rnacentral:rRNA from 1 species